rnacentral:rRNA from 1 species
GCGUAACACCGGUGGCCCGAGUGGUAAUCACUAUUAUUGGGUCUAAAGGGUCCGUAGCCGGUUUAAUCAGUCUUCCGGGAAUCUGACAGCUCAACUGUUAGGCUUGCGGGGGAUACUGUUAGACUUGGGACCGGGAGAGGUAAGAGGUACUACAGGGGUAGGAGUGAAAUCUUGUAAUCCCKRUGGGACCACCAGUGGCGAAGGCGUCUKACCAGAACGGGUCCGACGGUGAGGGACGAAAGCUGGGGGCACGAACCGGAUUAGAUACCCGGGUAGUCCCAGCCGUAAACGAUGCUCGCUAGGUGUCUGGAAUGGUGCGACCGUUUCAGGUGCCGCAGGGAAGCCGUGAAGCGAGCCACCUGGGAAGUACGGCCGCAAGGCUGAAACUUAAAGGAAUCG